UUAAACCCCCCCCCCCCCCCCCCUUGCGCUCUGCCCUGCUAGAUCCCCACAUCUCUACCAACCACAGCCCGGCUCUUCUGCUGGAAAAGGAGAGUCCGCACCCGGCAAGAUCAGACCUCGUUCUUUGUGCAUCCACCGAUUGCACCGGUAAUGAUUGUAGCAGGACUGAGAUGGGCCCUCCUGCUAAUGCAUCUGCAGGACCUGAGUCUAUGGACACCAGCCCUGCAGGUCCGCACCAAUGAUGUCUGUGAGGUGUCAGAUCUUGGCCAGAAGAAUGAACUUCUUGCUACGGUCUUUUAAAGCUCUGGUUACCUCCACCUGGAGCCUACUCCCCUGCUGUCACCAGUCUCAGAUCUAAAACCCAAAUGGCCUGUUGCACCACGAGCUUUGUGCAGCAGAGACUACAGCAGUCAACAGCGCUCUGGAUGUGCAAAGUGCUCUUUGGAGGCCGAGUUCCUGGAGGCGCAGGAUUUAAUCUCCUUCUCUUCACCUUUGGAAAGCGAUGGGCAUUAUCCCACCUGCAUUUCAAAUGCAGAAGGAACUUGGCUGUGGUUUUCAGCAGUUACCCUGGGACUCUUUUAGUAUGUGCUAAAAACAAGGACCAGGUUUAUCCUCCUACUGCCUCUUUGGCUAUUAGGAUGUGAUCAAAGCACUUAUCUGGCAAGGGACGGACCAGCCACACAACUUGGACACUUCAUCUGUUUGAAACAGGAAGGGAAAAAACAAAGCGCAAUCAGCUUUUGUUCCCCAAGGACGCACUGUUCCAAAGUGCCUGACCCAAAGUCUAUGUUGCAGCUCCUGGAAAGUCCUGUUAACUUCAGCAGGUUCGAGUAAGACCCGAAGAGACUUAUUAGCAUGCAGAGAAAGGCCCCAAUCUUGCAACUGGACCCAUGCCAGCAACCCUAGGUGGAGAUCUGGCUGCAAGGGCCCGCUCAGCUUUACAUCACUCACAAGAAGAGGCUACAAAUGCUUUUCAUGCACUUGAAUAGGUUAUCCUAGGGCUGCAAACAGACAUCACAUUUGUCUCAGGAUACACCAUUUUGUUCUGGGGCAAGUGCAGUCAUUCAGAUGUGCAUGUGUGUUGUCCCAGGAUAAAUCCUAAAAAGGUUCCUGGGAUAGGAAAUGCUAACGAUUUAUCCUGGGACAUUGUAAAGUGGCAUCUGAAUGGCUGUCCUGGGAUAGCAUCACUGAAUCAGUGGUAGGAAAGCACCAGUGCAUUCAGCCACUCAUUAAACCUUAGUGAUGUGUGCACAUGCCAAUCCUGGGAUAUUUCUGUUCUGGGACAACUUGUCCAGGAACCAAUGCACUGUCUGUUCCUACCUAGUAGAGACAUCAUAAUACUGGUUUUAAAGUUAGUCUCCCUCCACUGGAAUCAAACCAGCCCAAUUGCAGAGCCUGCUUCCCACACAUCAAACACUGGAGAGAUGAACUGAAAGGCUUUUUACCUCUCAGGACGUAUGUGGAGGCUUCUGCACUUCUGUUACAGCAGCUGACAACAGGCCAGAGUCCAAUCCCAGUUACUCUGAAGUAAACCGGACAAACUCCAUUGAAGGCAAUGGAAAAUCUCUGAACGUAUUCGGUCAAAAUCCAGCCCAUCUCCCACGCCCCAAGGAGUACUGGCUGCUCCUGGGUGGUAGCAAGGCAACGGGCUCAGCAGAACUACAGGGCCUUUGUUUCCGAUUCUGGCGAGUACAUAAAAAAAAUGGGAUUUUCCACUCUUAUUUUAAAAGUUAGUUAUUUAAGUGCGAGUUUCACUCUGUUAAGGACCAGGCUUUGAUCCUUUACUUGCAAUAUUGAUGCAUCCUACUAAGGCAACAUUGAAAUCACUUGGGAAGUUCUGUCUUUAUUAUGGGAAUGCUGCUUAAAUCUGGGGGGCCAAAUACAGAGCCGGAUCUUCUUUUCACCUCGAGUUUCACUCUUGAUUUACACCUGAGUGGACGAUCACUUCCCCUACCCCAAAUGGUCCAGGCUUGGAAAUAUUUCUUUUCCCAAUAAAAUGAGCUUCUCAGUUCAUCUUGCCCUUGGUCAAGUCAUAAAAAAAAAAAAAUCACAUACACUGGUAGAAGCAUUUCCUUUGGGGGUUAUUAAAGGCACGAGAAUUCAUAAACACAGACGCCUUUCGCCAUUUAUGGCUGAUGUUUAACAUUUUUGCAUUUCACUCUGCUUGGACAAUUAAACAGAGGUCUGUCAGGUUCAUGCUUUGCACCAUUUCAGUCAGGCUGUGAAGUUUGAACGGUCAGAAAACAGGGCAGGAAGAACACUGAAUGUUUAAAUCUAGCCAAAAGAUUUCUUCUGAUAUUACUGUUUGUAAAACAAAGUGCGUGUGUGAAUAUAUAUGUUAAAAAAAAAUACAUUUGGUGCCUAAACUGCCUGCCACUUGCUUCCUAUUAGACACAGGAAUUUAUGUCAGGACGCUGAAUCCCAGAGUUUGGCUUAGCAAGGCAUGGACUCAAUCCCAAUAAUGGAAAACACAGCGCACCUCCCAAUAAUUUAUUACAUUGGCUCUUCUGCCUCUUGUGCUACUGCACUUCCUCUCCCUUCCUUGCUUUGCAAGGACACCCCCUUUCUAUCAUUACAUGUACAGGAGCAGCCAGGGGAGAGGGCAGGCGGUAGCAAGCAGAAGGAUUUGGUUCGUCUGGCACAUGUCAGGCAAUACAGGUAGCAGUACGCAUGGUUAUGUAUCCAUAAGCAGCAAAACAUAGAUCCCCCCGCCCUCCACAACCCUUCCACUUUCAUUAACUGAGACGCAGCCACAUUCCUCGGUUUUGUCUGGGCGGGUUUUUUGGUUUGUCAGUACUCAUUUGGCAGCAUUCGACACAAAGGUCUCUACAAAAAUAAAUGCCCGGGGCUUCGUUACAGGGAAGAUGCCCACAGUGCAAGAAAUGCAAGAAAUGCCCUUGUUCAUUUUAAGGCGAGCUCGUACGACUUGUCGGAUUCAUUCCAAGACUGUGAUUGUCACAAGAACAAGCAAAUGGGGCCACGCAUCGUCAUCUCUCUGCAAGGCACAGGACAGAUCUCAACCGGACCGCAAAUCUGCCCUGCGGCUGUGAAAGUGGGAUGCACAUGACCAAGGAGUAUACAGCUAGGGCAGUUUUGCUCAUUUAAAACCCCUUAAUGAAUGGGUUUAGAUAAGAAGGCAAAUACUAUAUAGAAGAGCUUUGGCAAGAAUCAGCUUGCCCAGCAUUUCCUAUCAGCGCAAGAAUGUGGUACUUGGUUUCUUAGGCAGGAAAGAGCUAGUUAAGCUGGUAAUUUUUGCUGUAGCAACAGGACCAUUUGGGUCCGUCAUUUAAGGCUUGGGGGUGGCUCUAAGACCCUGGUGCCCGCGGGGACUGGAUGCGGUUCCUCUGCAUGUUUUACGGUGGCAGGAGUAACUCAGC